rnacentral:rRNA from 1 species
UACGUAGGAGGCAAGCGUUGUCCGGAUUUACUGGGCGUAAAGGGCUCGCAGGCGGUUCACUAAGUCUGACGUGAAAUCUCCCGGCUUAACUGGGAGGGUGCAUUGGAUACUGGUGAACUUGAGGGCAUCAGAGGAGAGUGGAAUUCCCGGUGUAGUGGUGAAAUGCGUAGAUAUCGGGAGGAACACCAGUGGCGAAGGCGGCUCUCUGGGGUGCAUCUGACGCUGAGGAGCGAAAGCGUGGGGAGCGAACCGGAUUAGAUACCCGGGUAGUCCACGCUGUAAACGAUGAUGACUAGGUGUGAGGGGUAUCGACCCCCUUUGUGCCGAAGCUAACGCGAUAAGUCAUCCGCCUGGGGACUACGGCCGCAAGGCUAAA